GAGUUUGAUCCUGGCUCAGAUUGAACGCUGGCGGCAUGCCUUACACAUGCAAGUCGAACGGCAGCAUGAUCUAGCUUGCUAGAUUGAUGGCGAGUGGCGAACGGGUGAGUAAUACAUCGGAACGUGCCCUGUAGUGGGGGAUAACUAGUCGAAAGAUUAGCUAAUACCGCAUACGACCUGAGGGUGAAAGUGGGGGACCGCAAGGCCUCAUGCUAUAGGAGCGGCCGAUGUCUGAUUAGCUAGUUGGUGGGGUAAAGGCCCACCAAGGCGACGAUCAGUAGCUGGUCUGAGAGGACGAUCAGCCACACUGGGACUGAGACACGGCCCAGACUCCUACGGGAGGCAGCAGUGGGGAAUUUUGGACAAUGGGCGAAAGCCUGAUCCAGCAAUGCCGCGUGUGUGAAGGAGGCC
rnacentral:rRNA from 1 species